rnacentral:rRNA from 1 species
UACGAAGGGGGCUAGCGUUGUUCGGAAUUACUGGGCGUAAAGCGCACGUAGGCGGAUAUUUAAGUCAGGGGUGAAAUCCCAGAGCUCAACUCUGGAACUGCCUUUGAUACUGGGUAUCUUGAGUAUGGAAGAGGUGAGUGGAAUUCCGAGUGUAGAGGUGAAAUUCGUAGAUAUUCGGAGGAACACCAGUGGCGAAAGGCGGCUCACUGGUCCAUUACUGACGCUGAGGUGCGAAAGCGUGGGGAGCAAACAGG